UGGGGAAUAUUGGACAAUGGGCGCAAGCCUGAUCCAUGCCANUGCCGCGUGUGUGAUGAAGGCCUUAGGGUUGUAAAGCACUUUUGUCCGCGAAGAUAAUGACUCUACCGG
rnacentral:rRNA from 1 species